rnacentral:lncRNA from 1 species
UUUUUGUUCUUAGUGCUGAUUUUUUUCUUUCUUCUUCUUAAAGGGAGAGGGAGAAGCAGGCUCCCUGCUGAGCAGAGACCCCAAUGCGACCCUGGGAUCAUGACCCAAGCUGAAGGCAGACGCUUAAUCGACUGAGCCACCCUGGUGCCCUUUAAUGCUGAUUUUAUACAUUUUUCCGCUGUGUCAAAAGAAAAACUUUCCUAUCAUCCUUUUCUGUUUCCCAAAGAUGAAGAAAGCAAAGGAAUAUAAUUUGUCACCUACCCAAUUAAUUAUUCUGCUGCGAUUGCCAAGAAUUUUUCUUUUGUCCUCUUUGUGGAUGAAGCCUUGAAGUUUCUCAUAGCCCUUGGUAUACUUUUCUGUGAAGGCACAGAGUUUCAGGUAAAGGUGAUUUGUGACUCUCUGAAUGUGUCUGUUUGUCUCUUCAAGUUGGGGGUAGCAGUUUGCUCAUGAGCUGAAUCCUCUGAUGCAACUUGUUGAUUUUCACCUCGUUCAGCCUUUCUUCUUGUUGGGCAGAUGGGCGUGAUGACUGCCAACUUACGUGCAGUCCAGAAAGACGAGUUGUUCCAUUUUGUUGGUGACUAGAAUUCUAUGGCACAGAUACACCACAUUCUGUUUGGCCAUUCACCAGUCUGAGCAGAUCUGGGCUGCUUCUAGUUUGGGGCAAGUACAAAGAAACAUGCUAUAAACAUUUGUGCACAGGUAUUUGUGUGAGUAUAGGUUCUCAUUUCUCUGGGAAAUGUAGUUGCAUAUUUAAUAUCAUACACCAAAACAGCAACAACAAAAAAACCCUAUAAACUGUUUUUAAAAAUAGUUGUGCAGUUGUGCAUCCUCAUCAACACAGUAUGAGCCAUUCAGUUUUUCCACAUCCUCACCAGUAUUUGGUGUUUUCACUUUUUUUUGACUAUUGUGCCAGAUAUUUAGGGAUAUAGCAGUGUGGUUUUGAUUUGCAUUUUCCUAAUAGCUAAUAAUAUUAACAUCUUUUAAUGUGUGGAUCUUCUAUCUGUGUAACCUCGUCAACAAAUUGUGUCUUCAUGUCUUUAGCCCAUUUGGUCAUUGUAUUGUUUGUUUGUAUGUGCUUACUUUGAGAGUUCUUUAUAUAUUGUAGAUACUAGUUCAUUAUUGAAUAUGUGUUUACAAGUCUCUCAGUUUGUACCUUGUCUUUUCAUCCUCCUGACAGGGGCUUUGCAGAGAAAAAACUUUUAAUUUUGAGGAAGUCCAACUCAUCUGUUUCCCCCUAAUAGGAUAUAUUUUUGGUGUCAGGU